UACGUAGGGGACAAGCGUUGUCCGGAGUUACUGGGCGUAAAGCGCACGCAGGCGGUCGCGUAAGAGUGCGGGGACGGUGGGCGGCUUAACUGCCCAAGGGUCGCACAGACUGCGUGACUGGAGGGCCAGAGAGGGACCUGGAAUUCCGGGUGGAGCGGUGAAAUGCGUAGAGAUCCGGAGGAACACCAAUGGCGAAGGCAGGGUCCUGGCUGGCACCUGACGCUCAUGUGCGAAAGCCAGGGGAGCGAACGGG
rnacentral:rRNA from 1 species